rnacentral:rRNA from 1 species
UACGAAGGGGGCUAGCGUUGUUCGGAAUUACUGGGCGUAAAGCGCGCGCAGGCGGUCCUUCAAGUCAGAGGUGAAAGCCCAGAGCUCAACUCUGGAACGGCCUUUUGAGACUAGAGGACUUGGGUACGGGAGAGGUGAGUGGAAUUCCGAGUGUAGAGGUGAAAUUCGUAGAUAUUCGGAAGAACACCAGUGGCGAAGGCGGCUCACUGGCCCGUUACCGACGCUCAGGCGCGACAGCGUGGGGAGCAAACAGGG